rnacentral:lncRNA from 1 species
AAUAAAUAAAAUUUAUUCACUACAGAUUAAAUUUUCCCAAACAUUUAAAUGUUGAUUUCAAACUUAAUCAAACACUUCUAAAUAUUUAAUUAGAAUCUCUUGAGUAUAGAGCAGCUUCUUAAAUGCUCCGAAAUCUAUCAAGUUCACAAAUGUAUGAUUAUUGUAAAGCUAACCAGUUGCAUAGAGUGCACAUAUGCAGGAUAUACAUGUAGAUUAUACAAUUCCUUAUUCUUAUUAUAUAGACUAGGUUCUUUUCUACAGUGUAAUGAUAUGGUAGGCUAACUCAUCUGUCAUCUCAUAUUUUUGGCUCUCUCUAUGGUUCACCCUACUGCUCAUGCUGUAAGCUGACCUCUAGGUUUAUCCUGCACGAGAUGGACCAUGAGCUCAUGGCCAGGAGAAACAUCAAGUUAUCUCCUACUUAUUUAGUGCUUGAAGACUGAACCCAGGGCUUCUUACAUCCUUGGCAAACAGUCUACCAACUGAGUACAGCCUCAUCUUUACAAGGCUCCAAAGAAAACAGGAAGCGUGUGGGAGUUGCUAGACCUGGAGAUCGACAGUCUUAGAGUUAGUCGGGACUCAAGACUGAGUUCCUCUCCUUAGUAAAGCUUUCCUUAGGUGUUUCCCAUUUCUAGCCAUCUUCUUGCUGUUAAUUUUUGACCUGCGAUACCUUUGCCAAAUAAAACGUGUAUGUUUUAGAUGCCCAAAUAGUGUCUGUCUGCUGUCCUGUGUUGUG